CGGCCCCCCUCAGGUGAUGCUAGCAUACUUAAAGUACCAAUGGUCACUUGGUGAGGAUCAUAAGCGAAAGGAAGCCUUUGCUAGGUUGCAGGACCUUGCUAUGGACCUCUCGAGAACAGCUACUCUGCAACCAGUAAUGCAGAAUGCAUUAGUUGCUUCUUCUGGUGCGCCACUUGUUGCUCGUAUAUACCUCAGACUCGGCACUUGGAAGUGGG
rnacentral:misc_RNA from 1 species